GGGACACGUGGUAUCCUGUCUGAAUAUGGGGGGACCAUCCUCCAAGGCUAAAUACUCCUGACUGACCGAUAGUGAACCAGUACCGUGAGGGAAAGGCGAAAAGAACCCCGGCGAGGGGAGUGAAAAAGAACCUGAAACCGUGUACGUACAAGCAGUGGGAGCACGCUUAGGCGUGUGACUGCGUACCUUUUGUAUAAUGGGUCAGCGACUUAUAUUCUGUAGCAAGGUUAACCGAAUAGGGGAGCCGAAGGGAAACCGAGUCUUAACUGGGCGUUAAGUUGCAGGGUAUAGACCCGAAACCCGGUGAUCUAGCCAUGGGCAGGUUGAAGGUUGGGUAACACUAACUGGAGGACCGAACCGACUAAUGUUGAAAAAUUAGCGGAUGACUUGUGGCUGGGGGUGAAAGGCCAAUCAAACCGGGAGAUAGCUGGUUCUCCCCGAAAGCUAUUUAGGUAGCGCCUCGUGAAUUCAUCUCCGGGGGUAGAGCACUGUUUCGGCAAGGGGGUCAUCCCGACUUACCAACCCGAUGCAAACUGCGAAUACCGGAGAAUGUUAUCACGGGAGACACACGGCGGGUGCUAACGUCCGUCGUGAAGAGGGAAACAACCCAGACCGCCAGCUAAGGUCCCAAAGUCAUGGUUAAGUGGGAAACGAUGUGGGAAGGCCCAGACAGCCAGGAUGUUGGCUUAGAAGCAGCCAUCAUUUAAAGAAAGCGUAAUAGCUCACUGGUCGAGUCGGCCUGCGCGGAAGAUGUAACGGGGCUAAACCAUGCACCGAAGCUGCGGCAGCGACGCUUAUGCGUUGUUGGGUAGGGGAGCGUUCUGUAAGCCUGUGAAGGUGUGCUGUGAGGCAUGCUGGAGGUAUCAGAAGUGCGAAUGCUGACAUAAGUAACGAUAAAGCGGGUGAAAAGCCCGCUCGCCGGAAGACCAAGGGUUCCUGUCCAACGUUAAUCGGGGCAGGGUGAGUCGACCCCUAAGGCGAGGCCGAAAGGCGUAGUCGAUGGGAAACAGGUUAAUAUUCCUGUACUUGGUGUUACUGCGAAGGGGGGACGGAGAAGGCUAUGUUGGCCGGGCGACGGUUGUCCCGGUUUAAGCGUGUAGGCUGGUUUUCCAGGCAAAUCCGGAAAAUCAAGGCUGAGGCGUGAUGACGAGGCACUACGGUGCUGAAGCAACAAAUGCCCUGCUUCCAGGAAAAGCCUCUAAGCAUCAGGUAACAUCAAAUCGUACCCCAAACCGACACAGGUGGUCAGGUAGAGAAUACCAAGGCGCUUGAGAGAACUCGGGUGAAGGAACUAGGCAAAAUGGUGCCGUAACUUCGGGAGAAGGCACGCUGAUAUGUAGGUGAAGCGACUUGCUCGUGGAGCUGAAAUCAGUCGAAGAUACCAGCUGGCUGCAACUGUUUAUUAAAAACACAGCACUGUGCAAACACGAAAGUGGACGUAUACGGUGUGACGCCUGCCCGGUGCCGGAAGGUUAAUUGAUGGGGUCAGCGCAAGCGAAGCUCUUGAUCGAAGCCCCGGUAAACGGCGGCCGUAACUAUAACGGUCCUAAGGUAGCGAAAUUCCUUGUCGGGUAAGUUCCGACCUGCACGAAUGGCGUAAUGAUGGCC
rnacentral:rRNA from 1 species